UCUUCACAAAUUUGGGCAGCACAACACUCCUCUUGUGUUUUUCUGAACACCCUCCUCCCUUGGCUUGUCUUUCUCUACCUUUCUUAUCUCUUUAUCUUUCUUUUCUAUCUUCCAAAACCCUUGUUCUAAAUCAGACAUACCCUUACUAUAUUUGGACUUGUCCUAAUAAGCGAAGGAAGAAAGAAAUUGGACAAUCUAGAGAUGAAUGUAAGAAAGAAGAGAUAGACUUUUCAAUGCCAAAACACCGAAGACUCCAUGCUAUUUAUAAUUAGCGUGGAGUCGCAUAUCAAUGGGUGCCAUCCAAUCCACAUGCCCCAAAUGAAUUUUCAGAGGUCUUUCCAUGUUCUAAUUUAAGAAAAAGUCAUAUCUGAUAAGAAUUCUUCUGCAGGUGAAACUCUCUUAUCAGAUACGACGUUUGAUUCUUCGCCCGUGCGCACCCAAUAAAAGAUGCUAUAAGUAUCUUUUCAUUAAUCAGAUUAUUUUCAAAUUUUUACAUAUGAAAAUUCUUUCCUUAAAUGUUUAGAAACCAGAAGAUUAUCUGAUAUAAGUGGUGCCUAAGAGACUU
rnacentral:lncRNA from 1 species